rnacentral:snRNA from 1 species
GUGCUCACUUUGGCAGCACAUAUACUAAAACUGGAAUGAUAAAGAGAAGAUUAGCAUGGCCCUUGCGCAAGGAUGACAUGCAAAUUCAUGAAGCGUUCCAUAUUUUU